rnacentral:rRNA from 1 species
GACGAACGCUGGCGGCGUGCUUAACACAUGCAAGUCGAACGGGAUGAUUUAAGAGCUUGCUCUUGGAGAAUCUAGUGGCAAACGGGUGAGUAACACGUAGACAACCUGCCGACAGGAUGGGGACAACAUUCCGAAAGGAAUGCUAAUACCGAAUGAAGCGGAGGAGAGGCAUCUCUCCUCCGUGAAAGAUGGCCUCUAUUUAUAAGCUAUCACCUGUCGAUGGGUCUGCGUCUGAUUAGCUGGUUGGUGAGGUAACGGCUCACCAAGGCGACGAUCAGUAGCCGGUCUGAGAGGAUGAACGGCCACAUUGGGACUGAGACACGGCCCAGACUCCUACGGGGGGCAGCAGUGGGGAAUCUUCCGCAAUGGGCGCAAGCCUGACGGAGCAACGCCGCGUGAGUGAAGAAGGUCUUCGGAUCGUAAAGCUCUGUUGACGGGGACGAACGUACGGAGUGCGAAUAGUGCUCUGUAAUGACG